rnacentral:rRNA from 1 species
UACGUAGGUGGCAAGCGUUGUUCGGAAUUAUUGGGCGUAAAGGGCGCGUAGGCGGCCGGUUAAGUCAGCUGUGAAAUCCCGCGGCUCAACUGCGGGUCUGCAGCCGAUACGGGCAGGCUAGAGUUCGGUAGGGGAGACUGGAAUUCCUGGUGUAGCGGUGAAAUGCGCAGAUAUCAGGAGGAACACCGAUGGCGAAGGCAGGUCUCUGGGCCGAUACUGACGCUGAGGAGCGAAAGCGUGGGGAGCGAACAGG